rnacentral:piRNA from 1 species
AUGAGGACGACAAUGGAAGGCAU